rnacentral:rRNA from 1 species
GACGAACGCUGGCGGCGUGCCUAAUACAUGCCAGUUGAGCGAUGAAGAUUGGUGUUUGCACCAAUUUGAAGAGCAGCGAACGGGUGAGUAACGCGUGGGGAAUCUGCCUUUGAGCGGGGGACAACAUUUGGAAACGAAUGCUAAUACCACAUAACAACUUUAAACAUAAGUUUUAAGUUUGAAAGAUGCAAUUGCAUCACUCAAAGAUGAUCCCGCGUUGUAUUAGCUAGUUGGUGAGGUAAAGGCUCACCAAGGCGAUGAUACAUAGCCGACCUGAGAGGGUGAUCGGCCACAUUGGGACUGAGACACGGCCCAAACUCCUACGGGAGGCAGCAGUAGGGAAUCUUCGGCAAUGGACGAAAGUCUGACCGAGCAACGCCGCGUGAGUGAAGAAGGUUUUCGGAUCGUAAAACUCUGUUGGUAGAGAAGAACGUUGGUGAGAGUGGAAAGCUCAUCAAGUGACGGUAACUACCCAGAAAGGGACGGCUAACUACGUG